GGAGAGAUGUCCGAGCGGCUGAAGGAGCACGACUGGAAAUCGUGUGUGCGUUAAUAGCGCACCGAGGGUUCAAAUCCCUCUCUCUCCGCCA
rnacentral:tRNA from 1 species